GGGGGGGGGGGCAAGCGUUGUUCCGGAAUUACUGGGCGUAAAGGGCGCGUAGGCGGUCCCGCAAGUCCUCCGUGAAAUCCCACAGCUCAACUGUGGAAUUGCGAGGGAAACUGCAGGACUUGAGUUCGGGAGAGGAGAGUGGAAUUCCCAGUGUAGCGGUGAAAUGCGUAGAUAUUGGGAGGAACACCGGUGGCGAAGGCGGCUCUCUGGACCGACACUGACGCUGAGGCGCGAAAGCUAGGGGAGCAAACGGGAUUGGAUACCCCGGUAGUCCUAGCCCUAAACGAUGAGCACUUGGUGUGGCGGGUAUCGACCCCUGCCGUGCCGAAGCUAACGCAUUAAGUGCUCCGCCUGGGGAGUACGGUCGCAAGGCUG
rnacentral:rRNA from 1 species